AAAACCGGCUUCGGGA
rnacentral:sRNA from 1 species